rnacentral:rRNA from 1 species
GGCUAUUAUGCAGCUAUAAUGUACUUGAUGUUGAUUAUCCAACGUGGAUAACUGUGGCAAUUCUAGAGCUAAUACAUGCACCAAAGCUCCGACUUUUGAACGAGCGCAUCUAUUAGAUUAAAACCAAUCGGGUUAUUAGCCCGUUAAUUGGUGACUCUGAAUAGCUAUGGCUGAUCGCAUGGUCUUGUACCGGCGACGUAUCUAUCAAGUGUCUGCCUUAUCAACUUUCGAUGGUAGUUUAUGUGCCUACCAUGGUUGUAACGGGUAACGGAGAAUAAGGGUUCGACUCCGGAGAGGGAGCCUGAGAAACGGCUACCACAUCCAAGGAAGGCAGCAGGCGCGCAAAUUACCCACUCUCAGAAUGAGGAGGUAGUGACGAAAAAUAACGAGACCGUUCUCUUUGAGGCCGGUUAUCGGAAUGGGUACAAUUUAAACCUGUUAACGAGGAUCUAUGAGAGGGCAAGUCUGGUGCCAGCAGCCGCGGUAAUUCCAGCUCUCAAAGUGUAUAUCGUCAUUGCUGCGGUUAAAAAGCUCGUAGUUGGAUCUGCGUCUCAGGACCUGGUCCAUCCAUUGGAUGAGAACUGGGCUCCUAGGCUAAUAUUGCCAGUUUUCCAUACGUUACCUUGAUUGGUUGCGUAUGGUGGCUAGCAAGUUUACCUUGAAAAAAUUAGAGUGCUCAAUGCGGGCUAAUGCCUGAAUACUCGUGCAUGGAAUAAUGAAAUAGGAUCUCGGUUCUAUUUUGUUGGUUUUCUGAUCUGAGAUAAUGGUUAAGAGGGACGGACGGGGGCAUUCGUAUCGCUGCGUGAGAGGUGAAAUUCUUGGACCGUAGCGA